rnacentral:rRNA from 1 species
UACGGAGGGUGCAAGCGUUGUCCGGAAUCACUGGGCGUAAAGGGCGCGUAGGCGGCUCAUGAAGGCUGUGGUGAAAGUCCGGGGCUCAACCUCGGAUCGGCCGUGGCGACUCGUGGGCUGGAGCACUGUAGAGGCGGGUGGAAUUCCGGGUGUAGCGGUGGAAUGCGUAGAGAUCCGGAAGAACACCAGUGGCGAAGGCGGCCAUCUGGCUCGGUACUGACGCUCAGGCGCGAAAGCGUGGGAGCAACAGGAUAGAAACCCAGUAC